rnacentral:rRNA from 1 species
UACGGGGGGGGCAAGCGUUGUUCGGAAUUACUGGGCGUAAAGGGCUCGUAGGUGGCCAACUAAGUCAGACGUGAAAUCCCUCGGCUUAACCGGGGAACUGCGUCUGAUACUGGAUGGCUUGAGUUUGGGAGAGGGACGCGGAAUUCCAGGUGUAGCGGUGAAAUGCGUAGAUAUCUGGAGGACCACCGGUGGCGAAGGCGGCGUCCUGGACCAACACUGACACUGAGGAGCGAAAGCCAGGGGAGCAAACGGG